UCCGUCAGCCAACUGUGAAGCAAGUGAUGGAGACAGCUGCCAGUGCCGCAGUCCCUGCCACUGUGGUGCAGCAAGGAUCACACCUUUGCAAGGCUGUGCAAAGGACAGGCAUCACAAACAGUGUUGUGAUUGUCAUGAUUCCAAUUGACAUCACGUCUCUCUUUAGAUAUGUGUACGGUGAGCAGCUAGGUGACCGACUACCGAGAUGGCUUGUUCUGGCCGAGGGAGGCGUCCCCGGUGGCCUGGAAGAGGUGCUGCAGGAGGAAACUCAGGUUCUGCUUGUGGUUCAGCAUCCCCAGGGUGUUUAUGAACUGCUCACUUCUCACAUCAAUGACUUUAACCAAGUGAGGU